UAAUAAAUAGCAGGAAAGAUAGAAUACUUGAUAAUUGUGGCAUUUGAAAAUUGAGAAUGAAGGCAUCAUAGAUGCUAUUACAUACUUGAUCAAUUGUAGAUUAAGUAUAUCGGCACCAGUGGGUGCUAAAGCUACGCGGAUAGGAUGCAAAUUAAAGGUAAAUUAGAAGAAAUCAAGAUAAGGUUUAGGUAAAAUAAAUGGACACU
rnacentral:lncRNA from 1 species